rnacentral:rRNA from 1 species
GACGAACGCUGGCGGCGUGCCUAAUACAUGCAAGUUGAGCGAUGAAGAUUGGUGCUUGCACCAAUUUGAAGAGCAGCGAACGGGUGAGUAACGCGUGGGGAAUCUGCCUUUGAGCGGGGGACAACAUUUGGAAACGAAUGCUAAUACCGCAUAACAACUUUAAACAUAAGUUUUAAGUUUGAAAGAUGCAAUUGCAUCACUCAAAGAUGAUCCCGCGUUGUAUUAGCUAGUUGGUGAGGUAAAGGCUCACCAAGGCGAGGAUACAUAGCCGACCUGAGAGGGGGAUCGGCCACAUUGGGACUGAGACACGGCCCAAACUCCUACGGGAGGCAGCAGUAGGGAAUCUUCGGCAAUGGACGAAAGUCUGACCGAGAAACGCCGCGUGAGUGAAGAAGGUUGUCGGAUCGUAAAACUCGGUUGGUAGAGAAGAACGUUGGUGAGAGUGGAAAGCUCAUCAAGUGACGGUAACUACCCAGAAAGGGACGGCUAACUACGUG